UCGAGUGUAGCCGAGGAGCCGAGUCUAACCGAGCCGGGCCCUGCCGAGCGCAGCAUCCCGGGCAGGGCGGGGCGCCGGGGCGGGCUCGGGGUGGAGCCGGGGCUCUGUGUGGCUCCCCCUCCUGUCCCUCUCUCUACCCCUCUUUCCUCCUCCCCGUAUUCCUCUUCUUUCUCUCUUUCCCGCAUUUCCCCCUCUCCCCAAAGCAGCUCCGUUCCCUCCCUUUCCCGCUACCCUUCCUUCCUCUUCCCCGUAUUCCUGUUCUUUGACCCCCAGACCGUCCCCUCCUCUCCCUCCCAAACCCGACCUCCCACUGCCCUCACUCCGUCCUGUCCCUGCCCCGCUACUCCGUUCUGUCCCUGCCCCGCUACUCCGUUCUAUUCCCCCUCUCUCCCUCCUCUGUCCACCGUCCCUCUUCCUUCCCUGCCGGCCUUUUCCUUCCCUUCCCGCUUUCCUCCACAGCCCGACCUCCCUCCCACCCUUCCGCAUGCCCCGCUCUCCCUCCUCUCUUCCCGUCGCCCUUCGCUUCUUUCCCCCGCAGCCGCGGGGCUCGGGGCGCGGAGAAUAAAGCCCCGAGGGCCGGAGCCCGGCGCCCCCCGGCCCUUGCGGGAGUCCCCGCACGGGGCCGGAGGCUCUCGGCGGAUCCCCCCGCGCCGCUCGGACACCGCCCGGCGCUGCCGGACCUGCGGCUCCGCCACCAUCGCGCUGAGAGCGGCCCCGCUCUGCGCCGUGCCGGCCGUGCCGCGUCCCCGCCGCCUCUGCCGCUCCCAAUUUCUGCCCCUGGCCUGCGACAGCGAGGCGGGGCGGGGGCUUCAAGCCUUCUGGGGGCUGCCCCCCCUUUCCUUUUGCGGCAGAGUCCCUUUCGGGGGGGAUGGAGGUGUGGAAAGGGCUGGAAGGGAGUGCUGGGCUGCUGUCCAGGGCAGUUGGACUCGUUCUGUGCCUUCUUUGGGGGAAUGUAGGAAACUCUGACUGGGGAUGGGCAGUAGUUUUGAAAAUCAUGCCCUAAGGUUUUUAUCUCGUGCUGAACCAAGCAAGUGCCCUGAAACCAUCGGAGCAGCUGCAGGGGCUGAAGGGAACAGGAAGGGCUCUCCGGCACCUUUUGCCUCCGUUCUCUGCCAUUCUCCGUCGCAGUCCCGGAAGAGGCAUCUGUCAUGCAGCCUGCCAAAAUGAAGACCUGUAAAAUCCGAGCUCUGCCUUUUGUUCAAGGUGUUUUUACUUCAUAUUUAUGUCAUCACAGAAAGCAAGGAAAGAAGAAAUGUGACUGGUAACCACUAUUGCUCUGUACAGGCACUUUUAAAGGCUGCUGUACUUAUGUUCUCCUUUUCCACUCCAAGCUUGACUUUCCCUCUCAUAUUUCGAGGUCUGCCGCUUUGGGUGUCCCAAGGAGGGCAGGGUUCCUCAGCAGGGGUCUUAGGAGUUGGUGCUGAUUCUGCUUUUUCCAAAGGUGUAUCCAAGUGUGCUACCAAAACGACUAUUUUCUCCACGGGAAAGCUUUCUCUCAAUGACAAUCAAUGCAUGUAUGUGUUUUAACCGUGUAACCAGAUGGAUUAAGAAAAACCAACACCCGUAGUAGAUUUCUGCUUGAUCUGUGUCUGUAAGAAGUGGGCUGUGUGCUAGAGAGUGAGAGACGCUGUUGGAGAGUGGCAACAGCCCCAGGUGUGAGCUGUGAGGAUGGGGAGGGCUCAGAGCAGCCCCAGGUGUGAGCUGUGAGGAUGGGGAGGGCUCAGAGCAGCCCCAGGUGUGAGCUGUGAGGAUGAGGAGGGCUCAGAGCAGCCCCAGGUGUGAGCUGUGAGGAUGGGGAGGGCUCAGAGCAGCCCCAGGUGUGAGCUGUGAGGAUGAGGAGGAGGGGGCGGCUCCUGCCGGGGGGAGGUUGUUUUAGGGAGAGGGUUUGCUUCAGCUGGCUUUUGUAUGGUGCUGCUGCUGGAGAAGGGGAGUUUAUGGGGAGCUCCCGGGCCUGUCUCAUGGAAGGACGAUGGGUGCUUGGGACAGGGUCUGGGGGAUCACCUGGAUAUGCACUUGUGUACGUGGAGCCUUGCUCAAAGGAGGUGCCGAGGGACAAACUUUUGUGCCGAGAAACAGCAGCCAAACAGGUGAGCCGGUGUGCCUUUGUCGUGGGGACUUUUCUCCUUUCCCUUUUAAAUUUCAUCUUGCCAAUCCCUCCCAGUUGCCCCCAGGAAAAAAAGAAAAAAAAAAAAAAGGAUUUUGAGGACAAAAGAAAUUCAAAUUGAGGGUACCGGUGUCUGAACUAGUGGGGGAUUCCCCUUCACUUGUGGUUUUGAGGGUAGUGAUUGAAGGAAAACCUGCCUUUUCCAGGGUGUUAGGGAUAUCACAGGGGAGACAGAGAAUCCCUGUGUUGCCUUUUAAAUGGAAGGGGAAAAAUAUUGUUGUCGUAUGAUGGGUUUGACUUGAGGGUAGCUCCCCACCCUUUUCUUCAUCCUGAGGUUGAAACGGAGGGGGCUGCCCUGUUGUCCUUCCUUUUAAAGGGUUUGAAUUGAGGCAAAAAUCCCCUUUUGCCAUCAUUUGAGGAAAGCUCCUUCUGCCCUUCUAGGGGAUGAAAUUGAAGGGAAGCCCACAUUUCUUUGCCCUGGUUGAAGUGAGGUGAGCGACUGAGUGUGGUGUCACUUUUGGCGCUUCAAAGGAAGGGAGCUGCAGCUGUGGCAGCGCUGGAAGGGUGGAAACUGGGCUGUGCUGCUGCAUUUGGGGGCACUUCUGCUGCCCCUGGUGCCGGGAGCACGGCUUCUCAUUUUCCAGCGUUCCUUGCUGUGGGGCUUUUGAGGAAUUUCUUGGAUCAUUUUCUUUUGUUCGUACUUGGUGUAUGAGGAGGGCCAUGGGGUACUUCUUGGUUGUUACAGUUCUUGCUCCAGGUGCUGAUGACAAGGGUUUUUUUGGAUUGAGCGUUGUUGUAGGAUUUCUUUUUGAUUGGUUCUUAUGUUUUUAAAGGAUGUGCUUUUAAAAGUUUACAGUGGUUUCUAUGGGUUGUAGCAUGAAGUAGAGGGUAGGUUUUUAAUUUGGUUGUGGAGGCUUUUAUUAGCGGGAGUAUGUAGUGUCUGUUUAGGUUGGUUUGAAGUAGUCCUGUAAUUAAUUAGUGAGGUUUUUUAAUAUUGAUAAUUGCAUUUUUGCUUAUUAUAUUAUAGGGGUUUGAUUCAUUUGCCUUAUUUGGUUGCCAUGUAUGUUUUAUUUUUGCAGAGAGUUUGGGAGAUAUUGUUUAUGGUUACAUUUAUCUUUUGGCCACGUGUUUAUUUCUAGGUGGUAUUUGUGUUUUGGUGAUUUGAGGCAUUAUGGGUUUCUUGAGUUAGGAAUAAUUAUUUUGUUGUUGUUAGUAUAAGCUUUUUGGUUGGUUUUUUUUUUGUAGUUUCAUGUAUUUGGUUGUCAUUUUUUAUUAAUUUUAUUUUUGGGAACAUGGGUAUUUCUCUGGUGGAUUUUUUAAGGGACACAUCCUUUGCCAAUUGGAUUUUUUGCAGGUGGCCGCCCCCUCAGGACCACAGGCCCCUGAGCACAAACACUGUCCCUUUUCCCUGGGAAAGAAAACUCGCCAGCCCAGGUCCCUGAUGUCAGUUUGCAGGAGGUGUUUGGCAUUGCCCCGGCAACCACAAUUGUAUUUUGCUGCAGCUUUGGUCGGGGAGAUCUGGGGUGCCCCCUU
rnacentral:lncRNA from 1 species